UCAUAUUGAUGGACUUUGAUACCCGAUUGCCCAUCGAAUUUGGACUCAAUAUUUAUGAGAGGUUUUAUUAGUGAUUUGAUCACUAAUUAACUUAAUUUGAUUGAGUAAUUAUUUUUGGAUCAAGUCCAAUUGAAUUGGAUUCAGUUGGAUUUCACCCGAUUAGGUUAAGAGUUGACCUAAUCGUCGAGAUGGUUUGGUCCCUGAUUUGAUCAGGGGUUGGGCUUAGUCAAUUUUUGAUUUGAUUAGGAUUUUAUUGAGCCUAAUUAAGCUUAAUUAAGUUGGGUUUAAUUUAGUCUAAUUGUGCUUAACCUAU
rnacentral:lncRNA from 1 species